CAGAGGGUCACUGUGAGCAACGGAAACGGGGCUGAUUGCUAGGCUGGAGAACGUGGCAGCAGCAAACACGGAAAUCCAGUGCGGCUGCCAGGCAGAAAGACUAAAAAAGCAACCACUUUCCUGAGCCUGUGCUUUCUCUGGUUGGGGCAGAGCUGUUUUCACGCCAAAGUUCCUGUGUUACAUACUACGGAACAAGGUGACAGGCACAAAGACACCCAUGUGUCAGAAGAAGGUGGGAAAGGCACACGCGCAGCAUGACCUGCACCAGCCACCGUCCUGUCUGCGGUUUUAGACACCUAAACAGAAAGAGGGGAAGCAGAACCAACACUCACCUAACAGCAGUUGGUCUGCCAUUAAUCAAUCCAGCCAGGAGCCUUUGUUAAAGAUGUCCUGGACAGAGGAGGAAAGACUAUCAUUCGUUACCUUUCCCGGGUCACCCAAGUCCUUCAGAAUGAAUAAGAUUAGGUGAAUCCAGAAGUACUGUUGUGAUGAACACAUCCUUCACUGCACUGAAUUUAAAAGUGGCAUUCUCAGCAUCACCAGGCAAGGCAAGUUUCCCAAUCCCCGUGGAGAGUGGUGCCAUGUGGAAAACCACCUAUGCCAUCACUCGUUUUGCUGUGCCUCAAAGCAUGAAGACCUAUCUGCCAAGUUGCACCUCCAGGCAGCUGGCACAGGCCUGGACAAAAGGAGACCGCACUGUCAAGCAGCCCAUCUGUUUUCUACCCUAGAAGAUUCUGUGUCUCAAACAACACCGUGGCCCAACAUGUGGGUCGUUGGAGCUAGGUGUGCCUCUCAGCUUUGUACUUGCUGCUGGGGACCUGGAGAGUCACUUCAAUUCUACGAGCCUGUUUCCUGAUCUCCAAAGAGGAUGAUGAAUUCCAUCUCACAAGGCUCUUAUGAAGAUUAGACAUAAUCUACCUAGAAUAUCUAGUAAAUAAUACUUUAUUCUUAUAGUGCUAGAGAUCGAACCCAAGGCCUUGUGCAUGCUAGACAAGUGCUCAUUGCUGGGCUAUCCCCUAGCCCUCAAUAAGGCUUUUUCAGAUUUGCAUGUGGAAAAACUGCAAGGAUUUACAGUUA